AGGGUUGUGGCUCAAAGGUAGAGAGAGCUCUUGCCUACAAAUGCAUGAGGCACUGGGUUCGAUCCUCAGCACCACUU
rnacentral:tRNA from 1 species